rnacentral:tRNA from 1 species
GGGGUUGUGGCUCAGUGGUAGAGCACUCCCCUAGCACGUGCAAGGCCCUGAGUUUGAUCCUCAGCACCACA